UACGUAGGGGGCAAGCGUUGUCCGGAAUCAUUGGGCGUAAAGCGCGUGUAGGCGGCUCGGUAAGUCCGCUCUGAAAGUCCAGGGCUCAACCCUGGGAUGCGGGUGGAUACUGCCGGGCUCGAGUCCGGAAGAGGCGAGUGGAAUUCCUGGUGUAGCGGUGGAAUGCGCAGAUAUCAGGAGGAACACCAAUAGCGAAGGCAGCUCGCUGGGACGUCACUGACGCUGAGGCGCGAAAGCGUGGGGAGCGAACAGG
rnacentral:rRNA from 1 species